rnacentral:lncRNA from 1 species
UAAUACUCAUCAACAGUUCUUUAUUAUACCCAAGACAAAUAGAACUUUCAUCACCUGUCUUCACCUGAACCACCAAAGAUGUUAGUUAAAUUCACAAUUCAUGUUUAUAAUAAUGUGAAUCAACAAUUUCUCCUUGCCACAAAGGCUUAAUAGAACAUUUACUCAAUAUCAUUACCCCAAAAGCUAAUGAUAUUCAAAUGUAAUAACAAUGAUCAUACCAAUCAGUUGUCUAUCUUUGCACUACUGGCCAAAGAUAUUCAAUUAUAAAACCAAUGGUCAUGAUCAUACCAAUCAAUUGCUUGUAAGUGCACUACGGCCAAAGACAUUCAACUGUUAACUAAUGGUCAUGAUCCUGCUAAUCACAUCAUCAAAUUAUUCCUGUACUAUAACCAAGGAUAUAUAUUAGUAUCACAAGUGGUCAUGAUCAUGUCAUACACCUGUCCAUCUUUGCAAUACAGGCCAAAGAUAUCAUUUAAUAGUUUAUCUUUGCACUACGACCAAAGAUAUCAAUCAACAGUUCAUCUUAACACGUAAGCUAAAGAUAUACUACUGUACCUGUGGCGACCCCAAAUCCGGAUACUUGAAACCCGAACUCGAUUCUCCACGAUACCAUUUCUUUAAGUUGAAUAAUACUAAAUAAUAAUAUAAUUCAAACUUAAUUUACAUACAUCAAAGUUUACUUUCCCAGGUACGUGACCUUCAAAAUACAUUCCUUACAAUACCUGACAAUAGAUUCCAUUGUCUUACUAACUAUAACCAUUAACUCAUACUAAUUCUCAUUCGAACAGCUUUUCUUUUCCCUUGUUCGUGCCUGAGCCUUCAGGUCGAUCGUAGGUAACUGAAAACAUUUAGUUUAAGCAAGGAUGAGCAUUUGAGUGCCCAGCAAGUAAUAGCAAUUAUAUAUAUAAGCUGAAAGAAUAUAAGUAUUCUCUUUACAUAACACUUCUACAACGAAUCAAAAGUUGUGAAGUAAUCUGUACUGAUAAAAGAUUCACAUAACAACUCUCUUCCAAAUUAUUUAAAUUUGGCUCUGGCUCUACCCAUGAAUAGGGUUUAAGAAACAUACUAUGAACAUUGUUUUUCAUUUUCGAAAAGGUUUAGCAGAAAUUCAUCCGCAAACCGUCAUAACUUACGGGCACGGAGGGUGAUCAGCCCCGUUGUACCCUGUAUUGAUCAAUACUACAUAACUUGAACGAAAUUCAUCGCUCACCCUUUGUCCGCCGAAGCGCAUAAAAAUUUUCCCAUUAUCGGGAUGUUCAUACAUGCCUGGUUCCAAACCCGAAGGUUUUUAAUCUUGCUCAACAAUAAUAUGUAAUUCAACAUAUAUGUAUACGGGUAAUUGACAAAGGUAUAUCAACAUGUGAAUAAAUGCCAUGAUUAUCCAAGUGGGGACACUUGUAUAACCAUUUAGAAAUCAACUUAACAGAAUAUAUAUCUGAGCUAACAUGUUGAUAAUCAAAGCGUACAUAAUCUGUACAGGAAUAGAAUAAUUCUGAAACUUCUUACUCAUGUCCAUUGCAUAAAGAAAAUGCAAAGGUAGGAUACUUGCCUGAUUCGCUGAUUACAAAUCUCAACUUAGGUUUUAUCUCUUUAUCACAACCU